rnacentral:misc_RNA from 1 species
AGCAGCCUCGGCGCUGAAAUGGCGAGCGAAGAGCGAAACGUAAGGCGAGGGAGAAACAUGAGAUGAAGCAGCAACAGCAAGUCGUGAAGCUGUGGAAAUGGAUCCCGAUGGAACAGCAGAUGCUGCCGUCGAUGAUAAAGGAAGACGUUUUAGGGCAUUAAGCUGCAAAGAGAGCAAUCUCCUCCACAUGGUUGGUGAUUCUCCGGCUAUGAUCUCAGGUCACACCACUUCUACGGCGAAUUGAUUAGCUUUUUCUUCUAUCUCUUU